UGGAUUUAACGUGACUGGCGAAAAAAGUGGAUUACCACUGGGGAACGUAAAAGGACAGUCGCUCGCCUGGGCUGGACAA
rfam:Varibaculum cambriense DORA_20 Q618_VCMC00001, whole genome shotgun sequence.